CCAGAAAGUGUAAAAUGAUGGAUGAAUGUAACCCUGUUCGAGAAGAAAAGGGGCAUUUUGAAGUCAAGACUGUGUAAAGUUUCUAAUUCGAUGCUUGACAUUCCUGGAAUGAUUCGGUUGUAUAAAAACACAGAUUAUUUUUCAAGAAAUUAGAAGUGUGAAAUAUUUUGCUUCUGAAUCUGUGGCAGAAGUCACCUUUUUCAAAUCCUCGUCUCUUAGAUCGGAAUUUUCCAACAAUUUCCUAAUACCAAUCAUUUGGAUUCUAACUGGAGUUCUUUGUUAUCUACUAUUCAUCCUUCUGACAUCUUCCUGAAAUGCAUUUUUUCUGAUGAAGAAGCAACACUGCAUCUAACAUUGUUCGUUAUCUGGAGUAAUCUCUGUAACAGUGAGUUUCUCUCCGCAAGUAAGGAAUUUCAUUCUGCAUAAU